CCUACGGGGGGCAGCAGUGGGGAAUAUUGCGCAAUGGGCGAAAGCCUGACGCAGCGACGCCGCGUGAGGGAUGAAGGUCUUCGGAUCGUAAACCUCUGUCAGCAGGGAAGAACGGUCACUGUGCUAAUCAGCAGUGAAUUGACGGUACCUGCAAAGGAAGCACCGGCUAACUCCGUGCCAGCAGCCGCGGUAAUACGGAGGGUGCGAGCGUUAAUCGGAAUUACUGGGCGUAAAGCGCUCGUAGGCGGUAUGUCAAGUCAAGGGGGAAAUCCCCGCGCUCAACGUGGGAACUGCCUUUGAAACAGGCAAACUGGAGUGUGUGAGAGGAGAGUGGAAUUCCAGGUGUAGGAGUGAAAUCCGUAGAUAUCUGGAGGAACAUCAGUGGCGAAGGCGACUAUCUGGCACAUAACUGACGCUGAGGAGCGAAAGCGUGGGUAGCAAACAGGAUUAGAUACCCCUGUAGUC
rnacentral:rRNA from 1 species